GUUACGUGCCCUUUCUUGCUGGGAACGACGGACGUGAGUCACAAAGAAAGCUGGAAAACACUGGAGCUGUCUGCAUUCGUUUACCUGGAUGGACCCGGCCUUUGUCCCAGAAACAUGCUGCUCCAGGCGCCCUCCCAACCCCUGCCCCCAUCCCAAAAGUGCUGCUACUUUUUGGAAAUCGAGAAAAGAUUGUUCUACCUCACUUUGAUGGCUUUCCAGCAAUUAAGGAGUUAGCUAAAAGGCCAAAACUAGCUGGAUCCAACAAGAUGCUAUCCUGUUUUGCCUGCAACAUAUACCAGAAGGCAGGAAAAGAACUUGGCUGUGAUUCAUCUGAUCCAGAGGAAUAAUUCUUCCUGAUACCAAGAUGUUUCCUUAUUUGGUUACAUCUUGAUCAUGCUAGCAAUACCUCAACUAGCAAGGAGAAAAUAUUCUUCAUAGCUUUAUACCCACAGUAGUAAAUAUAUUCUGCCUAUUUCUACUCGCUCACAUUAAACUUCAUUUUAUUUUCAGGUCCAGUUCAGCUAAAGUUAAGCACUUUAAGAUCCCACUGAUUUUGGUAAAUUAUAUAGAUGUAUGUGGUUGCAAUCCUAUACAUAUUUAUGUGGGAUUAAGUCCCAUUCAGCUUGGCAUAGCUUACUUUAAGUGAACAUACAAAGGAUUGGAGUGUAAGUCUCCUGUUAAAAUUAAUAGUAUAUAAAUACAUUUAUUAAUAAGUUACGCCAUUAUUAAUUUAUCACUAUGGUAUGAACAAAACAAGUUUUCUCUAGCAUGUAAAGAUGAAUUCAGAGAUGCAUACAAUUUCUGUUUGCUUUGAUAUUUGAAAAAUUACAUCAUACAUACAUCUUACGUUUCCUGUCAGUAUUUUGAAUAUUCAAAAUACUUUGAAUAUUCAAAGUAUAUUCAAUAUAUUGAAUAUUUUGAAUAUUCAAAAUACUGUUCAUCGUGAUUUAUUUCAAGUAUGAUACAUUAAAAAUGUUCAAAUGUAUGCAUAAAUUCAUAUUUUGGUAUAACAAAAGAAAUCCAAAAUAAACAGGUCAAAAUUUUGAAACAGCAAUGAUCUGAAUGUUUUGAUAAUUUUGAAAUACCCACUCAUGU
rnacentral:lncRNA from 1 species